UACGUAGGGUGCGAGCGUUAAUCGGAAUUACUGGGCGUAAAGCGUGCGCAGGCGGUUUUGUAAGCCAGAUGUGAAAUCCCCGGGCUCAACCUGGGAAUGGCAUUUGGGACUGCAAGGCUUGAGUGCGGCAGAGGAGACUGGAAUUCCUGGUGUAGCAGUGAAAUGCGCAGAUAUCAGGAGGAACACCGGUGGCGAAGGCGGGUCUCUGGGCCGAAUGACUGACGCUGGAGGAGCGAAAGCGUGGGGAGCGAACAGG
rnacentral:rRNA from 1 species